UCCCCUUCCCUUUUUAUUGAGCCGAGCCCAAUAUGACUUUCGAACCCCAGCACUUUCUAUAAAACCCUGACAAUCAUGGCCGCCAAACCAAUUUCUUUCGAAAAAAUUCGGAGCCGAGAUGCAGAUCUUUGUAAAGACACUUACGGGGAAAACAAUCACUCUCGAAGUCGAGAGCAGUGAUACCAUCGACAAUGUCAAGGCGAAGAUCUAGGACAAGGAAGGAAUUCCACCGGACCAGCAACGCCUAAUCUUCGCCGGUAAGCAGCUGGAAGAUGGGCGUACCUUGGCGGAUUACAAUAUACAGAAAGAAUCGACUCUUCAUUUGGUUCUGAGACUUCGAGGAGGAAUAAUCGAGCCUUCUUUGAUGGCUUUGGCUCGUAAAUACAAUCAGGACAAGAUGAUUUGCCGCAAGUAUGCUCACUCUAAUUGAAUAUAUUUAUCUAUCUUAAAUUUAUUUGGGUUUGAUAUUGUUGUUAUGGUUACGGGGCUUGACUUAGCUUCGCUUGCUAUGACAAUGCAGGAGAAGUCAUACAAGUACCCAAUAUAAACAAAUGUCCAUUCUUCAACUUUGUCAACUGUUUCUUAAAUUAUUUUAGUGGCAGUUGAUUUUCAUGGGUGGUACAUCUGUGAGUUAAUGCAUUCUUAUCGCACUGGGGUGUGAUUGUUGAGGUUUCCCGUAGGAUAUUGCCUUGAUAUGUUGGAAAAGUGUGCCUAUAAACUGCUUAGGUAGCACUUUUUCGUGAGUCCUCUUUCCAAGAAUUAUAAUUGAAGAUGUUAUGCUCGCCUGCAUCCGAGAGCUGUAAAUUGCCGGAAGAAGAAAUGUGGUCACAGCAAUCAGGCUUGUCUUACAUUUCCCACUUGAUCUGAUCUUAUACUUGUUCAUAAAUGAUAUGUCUGAAGGUUCUUUGCUCUGUCAAUAAAAUUAAGACUACUGUUCAUUUCUUGCAGUUGAGGCCUAAGAAGAAGAUCAAGUAGAUUCAAGAACUCUCCUGCCUUCUUUGCUUUGAGAGUAACAUUUUGAGUGAUGAGAAUAUAAAUUUUGCCUUCUAAGAUUUGAAAUCAUGUGGUAUUUGAACCAAAGAAAACCAAUUUUAGUAAAAUUAUAGUUGAUUAUUCAUGGGAAGCUGUAUUAAAUUUGACAAUUAUUGGUUUGAGUUUCAUUCGUGAAUUGCUUCA